CACGGAGUUGUGGCCUACAGGCUUAGUUUCUCCAACGUAUGUGGGAACUUCCCAGAUGAGGGAUGGAACCCUUGUGUCCUGUGUUAAUUACCAGGUGGAUUCUUUACCUCUGAGCCAGAAGGGAGGCCCCAAAGCUUGUUCCUUGACAUGUAUCUUGGAACCAAUGAACUGAAUGUGUCUCAAAUACGUAUGAUCAAGAAACUACAGGCAAAAGGAAACAGUGGUAAAGAAGAAAGUUUUCAAAAAGUGAUGUUUGGAAGAGCCAAAAGCCAUGAAAUCAAAGAUUAUUUCCUCAGAAAGAUACAGGAAAAUAUGUAUAUUUUGAGUGUCUGUGGACAGAUGAUGAAAGAAAUGACAGAGGAACGUCUAUAUCCCAUAACAACAAUCUCACCGAUUGAAGAGAUCAUGAUAGUAGAAGUGAUGCAGGAAAUAAGCCUGUUGAAAGGCAUGGAUCAAGCUUUCAGGAUCAGUUGCAGAUACUUGAAUCUGAAGGGACAGUUUCUGAAUGUAGUCAGGUUGUGGUGAAUAUCAACAGUAGGGCCUCAGGUUUACCACCUCAGAGAACUCGUAGUGUCCGUAAAGGCAAUUCUCAUAAACAAGAGAGUGCUGUUAUACAUCCCUCAGAACUGGUACCAGACCAGGAAGCACACAAGAAAAACACUUACAGUUGUAAUGAGUGUAACAUAACUUUUCUUCAGGACUCAGAACUCACUAGACAUCAAAGAAUCCAUACAGGAAGAAAAGCAUAUAAAUGUAACAUAUGUUGUCAGGCUUUUAAUGAUAAAUCGACCCUUAUAGUUCAUCAGAGAAAUCAUACUGGAGAAAAACCAUAUAAAUGUGAUGUAUGUGGCCACUGCUCUAAACAGCAUACACACCUUCAACAUCAUCGGCGAGUUCAUACUGGAAAGAAACCAUAUAAAUGUGAUGUGUGUGGAAAGGCCUUUAGUCGAAAAGCAAGGUGUACAGUUCAUCAGACCCUUCAUACUGGAGAGAAACCAUAUACGUGUGAAGUAUGUGCCCAUUGCUUUACUCGAAAGUCACACCUUGG
rnacentral:lncRNA from 1 species